AAUACAUCGGAACGUGCCCGAUCGUGGGGGAUAACGGAGCGAAAGCUUUGCUAAUACCGCAUACGAUCUACGGAUGAAAGCAGGGGACCGCAAGGCCUUGCGCGAACGGAGCGGCCGAUGGCAGAUUAGGUAGUUGGUGGGAUAAAAGCUUACCAAGCCGACGAUCUGUAGCUGGUCUGAGAGGACGACCAGCCACACUGGGACUGAGACACGGCCCAGACUCCUACGGGAGGCAGCAGUGGGGAAUUUUGGACAAUGGGCGCAAGCCUGAUCCAGCCAUGCCGCGUGCAGGAUGAAGGCCUUCGGGUUGUAAACUGCUUUUGUACGGAACGAAAAGACUCUGGUUAAUACCUGGGGUCCAUGACGGUACCGUAAGAAUAAGCACCGGCUAACUACGUGCCAGCAGCCGCGGUAAUACGUAGGGUGCAAGCGUUAAUCGGAAUUACUGGGCGUAAAGCGUGCGCAGGCGGUUAUGUAAGACAGAUGUGAAAUCCCCGGGCUCAACCUGGGAACUGCAUUUGUGACUGCAUAGCUAGAGUACGGUAGAGGGGGAUGGAAUUCCGCGUGUAGCAGUGAAAUGCGUAGAUAUGCGGAGG
rnacentral:rRNA from 1 species